rnacentral:rRNA from 1 species
UACGGAGGGUGCAAGCGUUAUCCGGAUUUACUGGGUUUAAAGGGUGCGUAGGUGGGUUGGUAAGUCAGUGGUGAAAUCUUCGAGCUUAACUCGGAAACUGCCAUUGAUACUAUCAGUCUUGAAUUAUCUGGAGGUAAGCGGAAUAUGUCAUGUAGCGGUGAAAUGCUUAGAUAUGACAUAGAACACCCAUUGCGAAGGCAGCUUACUACGGAUACAUUGACACUGAGGCACGAAAGCGUGGGGAUCAAACAGG